rnacentral:rRNA from 1 species
GACGAACGCUGGCGGCGUGCUUAACACAUGCAAGUCGAACGGAAAGGCCCUGCUUUUGUGGGGUGCUCGAGUGGCGAACGGGUGAGUAACACGUGAGUAACCUGCCCUUGACUUUGGGAUAACUUCAGGAAACUGGGGCUAAUACCGGAUAGGAGCUCCUGCUGCAUGGUGGGGGUUGGAAAGUUUCGGAGGUUGGGGAUGGACUCGCGGCUUAUCAGCUUGUUGGUGGGGUAGUGGCUUACCAAGGCUUUGACGGGUAGCCGGCCUGAGAGGGUGACCGGCCACGUUGGGACUGAGAUACGGCCCAGACUCCUACGGGAGGCAGCAGUGGGGAAUAUUGCACAAUGGGCGGAAGCCUGAUGCAGCAACGCCGCGGGCGGGAUGACGGCCUGCGGGUUGUAAACCGCUUUCGCCUGUGACGAAGCGUGAGUGACGGUAAUGGGUAAAGAAGCACCGGCUAACUAC